rnacentral:rRNA from 1 species
ACGUAGGGUGCGAGCGUUAUCCGGAAUCAUUGGGCGUAAAGAGCUCGUAGGCGGUUCAGCAAGUCGGCUGUGAAAGUCCGAGGCUCAACCUCGGAAUUGCAGUCGAUACUGCUGUGACUCGAGUCCGGUAGAGGAGAAUGGAAUUCUCGGUGUAGCGGUGAAAUGCGCAGAUAUCGAGAGGAACACCAGUAGCGAAGGCGGUUCUCUGGGCCGGCACUGACGCUGAGGAGCGAAAGCGUGGGGAGCAAACAGGA